rnacentral:misc_RNA from 1 species
AAAGUCGUAACAAGGUAUCCGUAGGUGAACCUGCGGAUGGAUCAUUAUCACGUAUCCACGUAUCAACCAUUGCGAACUGUCUUACCUUUGAUAAGUUUUGUAAGUGAUUAGGGGAUUGUGGUUGGCUUCACGGCCUUCUGUUUUCUCUGCUUAUCAAAGUGUAUUUUUAAUCACUUCAUUAUUAACAACUUUAACCAAACUUUUAAACUUUUGAACUGACUUAUUUCUUACUCUUCGGAGAAGAAAUCAUUACGAAACAUAAGAACAACUCUUAGCAACGGAUAUCUUGGUUCUC